GCUACUUUGGACUCAUCUCGUGACAGUUCUUAGCACUGUUUACUGCAGGGUGAAUUCGUCGAAGGUACUGGAUGCCCGCUACCUUGGACGCAACUGCAGGCAGGCAGUGAAAUGUACCCGGUGGCCUGUCAGCUCAAGCCUAAUUAAUCCUGAAGCGCCCAGC